rnacentral:misc_RNA from 1 species
UGAACGCACCUUGCACCCUUUGGUAUUCCGAAGGGUAUGCCCGUUUGAGUGUCAUUGUAAUCUCACACCAACUUUUAUUAGUUGGAGGUGGACUUGGAGGUUGCUGUUGAAAAACAGCUCUUCUUAAAUGUAUUAGUGCGGCUCUGGUUGGACUUAAGCCCGAUGUAAUAAAAAUUUCAUCGUGGUGUCUAAUCAAAUCGAGUCUGUGCUUCUAACUGUCUUCGGACAAACUACUUGACAACUUGGCCUCAAAUCGGGUAGGACUACCCGCUGAACUUAA